rnacentral:rRNA from 1 species
GUAGGGAAUCUUCCGCAAUGGACGAAAGUCUGACGGAGCAACGCCGCGUGAGCGAAGAAGGUCUUCGGAUCGUAAAGCUCUGUUGUUAGGGAAGAACAAGUACCGGAGUAACUGUCGGUACCUUGACGGUACCUAACCAGAAAGCCACGGCUAACUACGUGCCAGCAGCCGCGGUAAUACGUAGGUGGCAAGCGUUGUCCGGAAUCAUUGGGCGUAAAGCGCGCGCAGGCGGUCCUUUAAGUCUGAUGUGAAAUCUUGCGGCUCAACCGUAAGCGGUCAUUGGAAACUGGGGGACUUGAGUGCAGGAGAGGAAAGCGGAAUUCCAUGUGUAGCGGUGAAAUGCGUAGAGAUAUGGAGGAACACCAGUGGCGAAGGCGGCUUUCUGGCCUGUAACUGACGCUGAGGCGCGAAAGCGUGGGGAGCAAACAGGAUUAGAAACCCCAGUAGUCC